rnacentral:lncRNA from 1 species
GGGGAACUUGCAUUAGGAAGCAAAAGAAUGAGAUCUGUAAUGGGUCUAUGGAUUUUCCUCUAGGAACAGAUAACUUUGCUCCACAAAGGGUAGCCUGCUGAUGCCAAAACAGAGCUGCUUCACACUGUGUCUGCCAGUAAGAAACUUCUCCUGCUCAUUUGAAUUUCUCUAGGUCUUCAUUGCUGCUGCUGGAAUUGCAAUGGAACAGGCUCCUAUCUUUAAUGCCCUACCCACUUGCACCUGUUCCUCCAGAGCAGGGUGUGAUGGGUGAUGAGCAGAGGAAGCUUCAGUGGGAGAACAGGGAUUUGUGGUCACUAGCAGGAGAAGUUACACAUGGAAUAGAAGAUAGCUUGGUAGCAGUAGAAAACUAGGCAGUGUGGCUAAAUUAUAAUAUUGUUGAAAGCAUUGUAAAGUGACAAAAAAUUGUAAAAUGACUCUUAGAAAGAUGGAACUUUUAGAAAGUUCUUGAAAAGAGAAAAAUAUCUAAAUAUAGAUCAUUUAUGCGGCCUUAAAUUUGCCUCUUGUGUACCUAGUGUCAAUAUUGACAGUGGUCCAAGGGAUCACUUAGGAGAUGUGGGUGGGGUGGGGUGGGGUGGGGUGGGGUGGGGGGAGUAGUGCAAACCCUGCCUCUGGCAGGGAAGUAAAGCCCUCUUCAAAGCUGAUGCCUCAAGAAGCAAGAGAAUGAAUAACUGAGCCCAGGAAGGGGAGUGGAAAAGGAUAAUUGCUGGCAACAGCCUAGCUCUCUCCUUACCCCCUGGUGUGAGUGCUCUCCCUCAGAACCAUGAUCAGAGCCUGUAGGGCUCACACCCCCCCCCCCCCCCCCCCCCCCCCCCCCCCCCCCCCCCCCCCCCCCCCCCCCCCCCCCCCCCCCCCCCCCCCCCGCCCCCAGCUUCCCAGAGACAGUUGCUCAGCUCCCUGUGCGUCCAGCUGCCUCUGGAGAGCAGAAGAGCAGAAGGGGAAACAAAGGAGGAGGAGGACCUGGCUACACUUCUGCAGUUUAAUAGCUUGGAAUACAGACAACCAAAGAUUCAUUGUAAAACCAGAAUGUAUGACUUGAAAAGAUGGAAGGAAGAAUGCUUAAAUGCUUAACAAUAGACUGAAAUGAUAGGCCUGCCAAGUUCACAGAAGAAUCAAUAACCAAGGAUAUUCACAUAGGAUAAGAUUUACAAUGCAUAUUUCACAGACAGUAACAACUGGGACCUCACAGCACUUACUGAAACCAGCAAAAUGACAACUGAUAUGUCCUCCAGUGAAUCCAUGUUAAAGCAUUCUGUCUUUAGUAAUUAAAAACUAGGUAAUCUCACCUGUGUGAAAAGCCCACCAUAAAAUCAGCUCCACUUAGUAAUCUAACUUGACUUGCUGACUUUUUAUAUCAGCUGUUAUGACCUCAAAGCCAGAUUCCGGCCCCUGUAUGCUAAGUAGCACCUUGCUCAAUAGUGUACUCAAAUCAAGUAAAGGAGAGUAACGUGAUAUUCACUGUUUGUAUUCUUCUCAAGUGUUCCUUCUUGCUUUUCCUACAGUUUCUUUUAUUCAGUAUUGUAUGUGUGGUGGUCUGGUAAUCCACUAAUUAUACACAAACAAGAUAUUUUUUUCACUUAGUUAUUUUUAUCUUAGACAUAAAUUUAUUAGUUACUAUAUUUCUUUUUCAAUUAUUUGAGUGUAUUUAAGCAAAUAUGUCUGCUGUCUGCAAAGAAGCCAAGUUUUCUGUUGUGCACUAAUAACUAUGCAAGGUCUAGAGAUCACUGAGCACAAGGAUUCCUUGGGCAUUCAGACUGUAAUGUACCAAAUGAAAUUGAUUAUAUUUCUUACUAUACUCCAAAAACAUUCUUAGCCUUCUGUCAAAAUCUGAACAAGCACAUUGAAACAGGGAAUCCUUUGCAUAUUUUUCAUAUGUGUGUUUGUACUGACUUCAUGCAGCAACUUUUAUGCGAAGAAAUACUGAAGAAAAAAAGAAACUAACCUUAUCAUAGGUUACUGCAUGUAGGAAGUAUUAUAAAUAUUAUUAAUUGCUUGGCUCUCUUCCUUCUCUGUCAUAUUUCCCUCAGGUCUCUGUUCUAUGCUCAAGGCCAUUAUUUGAUGGGGGAGGUAUAAAGUCAUAACAGACUGAUGUAAAUUUCCUUUGAGAUGUCUUAUAUAUCACAGAUACCACAAAGGAGAUGAAACAGCAAUUUUGUACCCUUUCAUAAGUAAGGAUGGAAGAAAUGCUUCAUCUAAAGAGAACUAAACUGAUGCCUGUUCUCUAAUUGAGGCCAGUAUAGUAUAUUAUUCUUCAGGUAAAUCUUUGAUAACACUUAUUGCCUUUCUCAAGACCCCUUCUGGGAAGAGGGCUUGUAAUUCUGAGGAGGAAAUGAACAACUCCAAAACUAAAGGAGAUAAAGAAGAUGUCUAUGUCAAGAUUCUUAGAUGUGCUCCAUCAGUGUACUGAAUUUUAUAUCUCUGCUAAAUUAAAAUCAGAAACUCAUUACAGAUAUGGAAGCAGGAAAGCAGCUCUGGCAGUCACUUUUUAAGAUCACCAUCAGCCUCUGAAGAGUUCUUAAAUGUUUUACCAAUCUAGUGUGGGUACCUGAGUUGUUGGUAAGAAAAGGUGCAGAUCUAGAACUCUGACAGGGAUACUUUUAGUAUCUUGGCUUUCCUAAGCAUGCCAAGAAAACCAAUCAUUGAUCUUUAAAAGCUUAAUUAGAAAUUUACCUGGACAAGUUUACAGAAGAUGAUAAAAACCUGGGGAGAAUUCAUUUCACAAAUACUAUAAUAAAACAACAGUGCAGGUGAACACGUUCUAUACAAUAAGUGAGUUCUUGCUCAAUAUCCAUUUCAUCUCCACAUCUUACCUUUAGAAAUCACCUAUUAUUUAGCACAAUUUAAUAAACUUCUAAUAAAACACCAACUAAGUACCAUUCAAAAAUAUUUCUAACUUAACUACAGUGUCUAACUUUUGAUGAGCAACAUGUUUGUGCCUUUGAACUGGUAACAUGAUUUUUAUCUAAAGGAUUUCACCAUCCACAUUAGAAAUAAAUCAGAUCCCAUGCAGAUGCAAGUCUACUACAGACAAGGGAGGUACCCUGCCUCUUAACACCAGUCAAGGUUUUAGCCCAGAAACAAUUUAGGCUUUGAUUCAUUUAUAAUUGUCACAGCUGUUUUCAGUUGAGCCAAUUCAUUUUAAUAAAUUUGGAAGGGGGAAUGAUGCUGCUAUCCUACAGCUAUUUUUGAAAUUGGGUAAUAAAUAUCAACUUUUCUGCACUGUUCAACCCUGUUAAAAUUGUAUAGCACUGAUCAAUAGGAAAAGAAUCUGCAGAAAUCCGGUUCUUGUUCAAAUGUGACCAAGAAUCUGCUUAUGUGUAGUUUUUGCUCAUGGCAAUACAAUCAGUAAAACAAAAAUAUCUUUGCUCAGCUAACUAGUAACUUACCCUUGAUGGGAGGGAUUGUUUUAUAUUCAAUAUACAUAGAGAUAAUCACAGUAUUUUGCUGUCAACAUCAAUGGUAGUAAAUUAUGAGCAGACCAAAGCUAAGGAUGAGUAUGAAUAUCAAAGUCUAAGUGGAUUAAUACUGGCUGAAACGUAGAAAGGAGGAGAACUACACAGUAACUUAAAAUAGAGCAUCGGGAAUUGAUGAGGAAUGAGUUGGGGAGCCAGGAAAGUGUCUCAGUAGACAGAGUUGACAUAACUGAUUAUUGAGCUACAUAAUCAAGAUGAUAAAACAUAUAUGUAUGGUUCCUGGAGAAUGGGUUUCCCAGAACUUUGUGUGCUAUUGAUUUUUAUUUCAUUCUAAGUGACAUUUGGUUUUCUAAACUGCUUUCACUGAGACACUGUAGUGGUAAAAUCAGAAUUGGCUGGUGGGGAAAAAAAAAAGAAAAAGUUGAUGCACUUCACAUGACAGAGAAAUGGACCGUAUAAGCACUUGUACAGGCAAGAAACUGGCAAUGGUAUGGAUGUUCUUAAAAUUUCAAGGGUCAGGCUCCACCUACACAUUUAAUCCUAUUAAUUUCAGUGGGAGUCUUCACUGAUAAAGAUACUAAUCAGGAAAACUGUGGAGAACAGCAACGAACCUUUAAAGGGUGACACUACUAUAAGAUUUCUGGGACUAUUACAGGACCAUUAUAACAGUUCUAAUACAUUUAUCUUUCUUGAUAUAUAACAUUUUUUAAAAUUACUUUACCUUAUAUUUUUGAGGUCUUAACCCUAUAUAUUUUCAAUCUCAAAAAUAAUUUUUUGUACUAAACAUUUUCACUGUCUGAUGCUGAACUGUAGAGGACUAUCAUAUCUCCAUCUUCAAGACGUACUUUCAAAAUGCUGAUAAUACUGUAUGAUAAGACUGUCAUAUAUAAUUACCAUGCUAGCAGUUAUGAGGACAUUGCUAUCUGAUUCCGUUAGGUCUCAAAUAUGACCAUAAUGUUUGGAAACAGCUGUCCAUCAACAAAUCUGCUUAUUAACAUCUAUGUGGAAGAGUUUUAAUGCAUUCUCUCAAUAUUUGCAAGCUAAUAUUAUCUGCUGCCUUUUCUGUAGCACACAAGGGCCAGCCUAACUGCCAAUCCGUGCUCUAAUCCCAGUGAGACCUGAGAAGAAAAAACUUACUGCCCUGUCUAGAAAGAGUGAAGGUCAGGCUAAUCAAUCUAAAAUAAAAAUGACACUACAUGAAAAUGCUCACUUUGUCUGAAUCCGUAAUCAUUC